GAAAUAAUGGAAACAACGGAUAAAACCUCCAAAGAGACAGAAACAUACGGCAGAAAAUUAGGUUACAGGUCAAGAACAUGAACGGAAAUAAUGGAAAUAAUGGAAAUAACGGAAAUAACAGAAAAAACGGAAAUAACGGAAAUAGCGGAAAUAGCGGAAAUAGCGGACAUAAUCUCCACAGAGACAGAAACAUACGGCAGAAAAUUAGGUGACAGGUCAAGAACAACAACGGAAAUAAGGGAAAUAACACAAAUAUCGGAAAUAACAAAAAUAACGUAAAUAACGGAAAUAAACUACACAGAGACAGAAACAUAUUGCAGAAAAUGUCGUGACAGGUCAAGAACAACAAUGGAAAUAACGGAAAUAAUGGAAAUAAUGGAAACAACGGAAAUAACGGAAAUAAUGGAAAUAACCUCCACAGAGACAGAAACAUACGGCAGAAAAUUAGGUGUCAGGUCAAGAACAACAACGGAAAUAACAGAAAAUCCGAAAUAACAGAAAUCAUAACGGAAAUUACGGAAAUCAUAACGGAACUAACAGAAAUCAUAACGGAAAUAACAGAAAUAAUAACGGAAAUAAACUCCAGAGAGACAGAAACAUACGGCAGAAAAUUAGGUGACAGGCCAAAAACAACAUCGGUAAUAACGGAAAUAAAGGAAAUAACCUCCAGAGAGACAGAAACAUACGGCAGAAAAUUAGGUGACUGCCCAAAAACAACAACGGAAAUAACGAAAAUAACUGAAAUAAUGAAAAUAACGGAAGUAAGGAAAAUAACGGAAAUAACUGAAAUAAAGGAAAUAACCUCCACAGAGACAGAAACAUAUGGCAGAAAAGUAGGUGACAGGUCAAGAACAACAACGGAAAUAACGGAAAUAACAGAAAUAACGGAAAUAACCACCACAAAGUUGGAAACAUAUGGCAGAAAAUUAGGUGAAAGUUCAAAAACAACAACAGAAAGAACGGAAAGAACGGAAAGAACGGAAAGAACCUCCACAGAGACAGAAACAUAGGGCAGAAAAUUAGGAGACAGGUCAAGAACAACAAAGGAAAUAAUGGAAAUAAAGGCAAUAAAGGAAAUAACGGAAUAAAAAAUGGAUAUAAUGGAAAGUAUAACGGAAAUAACGGAAAUAAUAUCGGAAAUAAUGGAAACAACGGAUAAAACCUCCAAAGAGACAGAAACAUACGGCAGAAAAUUAGGUUACAGGUCAAGAACAUGAACGGAAAUAAUGGAAAUAAUGGAAAUAACGGAAAUAACAGAAAAAACGGAAAUAACGGAAAUAGCGGAAAUAGCGGAAAUAGCGGACAUAAUCUCCACAGAGACAGAAACAUACGGCAGAAAAUUAG
ensembl:lncRNA